AACUUGCUUCCCGCCUCUGCCCACCCCGCGCAGUCGUCGCUGAGCGGCUGGCAUUCUCGCCGCCGCCGCCACUGCCAGGGCAGCUGGCCAACAUGGGGCAGUGCUGCUCCCUGUCCUGGGAGAGCCUGGCACAGACGCAGCCGCCAGCAGCAGCCGCCGCAUCAGGAGCAGGAGGAGGAGGAGGCCCAGACUCGGACCUGGUGGUCAGCCACACCUGCCCAGGGACCCUUCAGCGUCAGUGAGUCAGAUCCCUGCAGAAAGUGACUCACAGCCCCACAGGCUGAGAGACCUGGCCAGUCCUCCGGCUCCUCCGAGCAGCAAGAGACCAGCACAGGUCCACAGGCUCUCUGAGUUCACUGCUGAAUGUAUGCCCCUCCAAAAAAGCUGCUGCCUAUAAAGAAGCAAGAGGAGUGCAAAGGGGCCCCCCCGGCAGAGACAGAUGAAGACGAGCCGGUGUGAGAGCUGGCGCAGCUGAAGAUGCUGCCCGCCCGCCGGCCGCCUGCCUGCCUGCCUGCCUCUCCCCGAGCUGGAGCUGGGGUCAUGCCUUGUCUCCCUCCAGCUCUGCACCCUCCCCCAGCCAUAAGGCCCGUCCUGCCCUGCCAGAGCCCAUCGUGACCCCCUCAGUCCCAGGGGGGGGCCAGAAAUCUCUGCUCUGCCUCUCAUUCAGGACCUCCAGGAGCCCCGAAGUUGCCAGGCCUGGGCGCCCCCUGGCCGACCCCUAUACCCCAGAGCCAGCCUAUGGCCGGUCCUGGCCGGGGAUGCCCCCUUUCUGCCUGCCCUCUGGAGGCCCCUCAGCUUUGGGGCAGCUUACCUACUGCUGACCAAUGGCCGCUCCGCCCAUGCUCCCACCAGCCCCCACAUUAACAGCCCCAGAUUUAUAUUUCACAUGAAGCCAUAACCCAUAUUCUCCUAGCUGGUACAGGCUAUGGGGGGCCGUGGGGGUUGGGGGUCUCCGAACAGCAUGGCCACCACCCCCAAACGGUGCCCUCUGAUCAAGCACUGAAUGUUUACUCCCCACUCCCAAUGCCUUCCUAGAAGACAGACACUUUUGGAAUAUUUUGUUAAUAAAAAA